rnacentral:rRNA from 1 species
UGGGGAAUAUUGGACAAUGGGCGAAAGCCUGAUCCAGCCAUGCCGCGUGUGUGAAGAAGGUCUUCGGAUUGUAAAGCACUUUAAGUUGGGAGGAAGGGCAUUAACCUAAUACGUUAGUGUUUUGACGUUACCGACAGAAUAAGCACCGGCUAACUCUGUGCCAGCAGCCGCGGUAAUACAGAGGGUGCAAGCGUUAAUCGGAAUUACUGGGCGUAAAGCGCGCGUAGGUGGUUUGUUAAGUUGGAUGUGAAAGCCCCGGGCUCAACCUGGGGACUGCAUCCAAAACUGGCAAGCUAGAGUACGGUAGAGGGUGGUGGAAUUUCCUGUGUAGCGGUGAAAUGCGUAGAUAUAGGAAGGAACACCAGUGGCGAAGGCGACCACCUGGACUGAUACUGACACUGAGGUGCGAAAGCGUGGGGAGCAAACA